rnacentral:rRNA from 1 species
AGUGAACGCUGGCGGUAGGCCUAACACAUGCAAGUCGAACGGCAGCACAGUAAGAGCUUGCUCUUACGGUUGGCGAGUGGCGGACGGGUGAGGAAUACAUCGCAAUCUACUUUUUCUUGGGGGAUAACGUAGGGAAACUUCCGCUACUACCUCAUACGACCUACGGGUUGAAGCAGGGGUUCUUCGUACCUUUCCCUAUUCAAUGAGACGAUGUCGGAUUAGCUAGUUGGCUGGGUAAAGGCCCACCAAGGCAACGAUCCGUAGCUGGUCUGAGAGGAUGAUCAGCCACACUGGAACUGAGACACGGUCCAGACUCCUACGGGAGGCAGCAGUGGGGAAUAUUGGACAAUGGGCGAAAGCCUGAUCCAGCAACACCGCGUGAGUGAAGAAGGCCUUCGGGUUGUAAAGCCCUGUUGUUGGGAAAGAAAAGAAGCAGGUUAAUACCCCGAUGUUCUGACGGUACCCAAAGAAUAAGCACCGGCUAACUUCGUG